UACGUAGGGUCCGAGCGUUGUCCGGAAUUACUGGGCGUAAAGAGCUCGUAGGUGGUUUGUCGCGUUGUUCGUGAAAACUCACAGCUCAACUGUGGGCGUGCGGGCGAUACGGGCAGACUAGAGUACUGCAGGGGGAGACUGGAAUUCCUGGUGUAGCGGUGGAAUGCGCAGAUAUCAGGAGGAACACCGGUGGCGAAGGCGGGUCUCUGGGCAGUAACUGACGCUGAGCUGCGAAAGCUAGGGGGAGCAAACAGG
rnacentral:rRNA from 1 species